UACUCAAUUUCAAAAUUUGAGGUCACUAAUUCAAUCCCCCUUCUUGGUUCUAAAAAAUAACAUUAAGUUUAGAAAGCAUAUCAAAGAUUUCAGAGAAUUGCUUAUUUUGUUUACUUUCUUUCAAUCUGUUAAGGAAUGGAAUAGGAGGCUUAUAAGACUCAGCUAUCUUAUAGAACUCAAGUCCAAAAAAUGCCUCUUUAUCUUUUUUCU
rnacentral:lncRNA from 1 species